GCUGGGUGUGGUGGCUCACGCCUGUAAUCCCAGCACUUUGGGAGGCUGAGGCAGGCGGAUCACUUGAGGUCAGGAGUUGGAGACCAGCCUGGCCAACAUGGUGAUACCCCGUCUCUA
ensembl:misc_RNA Metazoa_SRP Metazoan signal recognition particle RNA